GUGCUGCUUUGACUUCCUGUAUUGCCUUAACUUUUUCAUUUUCAUUUUCAUUUUCAUUUGCUGCUUAAAGGAAUCUAGAAUUUCUAAUGUACUUUUGUUUUUCCAGAUUCCAUUCUGUGGUUUUCACAUUCACAUUCAUGGCUAGAUGAUGCUGUUCUUUCUGGUUCAAGGCUAAUGUGACAAUGGCUAGAUGAUUUGCAUAAACUACUUUGAGCUCCCUGGGAAAGUGGAAAAAGCACUAUGUAAAAACAUAC
rnacentral:lncRNA from 1 species